rnacentral:rRNA from 1 species
UCGAGGAUCUUCGGCAAUGGGCGCAAGCCUGACCGAGCGACGCUGCGUGCGGGAUGAAGGCCCUUGGGUUGUAAACCGCUGUCAGAGGGGAUGAAAGCGAAAGCUUGACAGAGCCUCAGAGGAAGCGCGGGCUAAGUUCGUGCCAGCAGCCGCGGUAAUACGAACUGCGCGAACGUUAUUCGGAAUCACUGGGCUUACAGGGUGCGUAGGCGGCCCGACAGGUCCGAUGUGAAAUCCCCCGGCUCAACCGGGGAAUGGCAUUGGAAACCGUCGGGCUGGAGUGAGCUAGAGGUGCACGGAACUUCCGGUGGAGCGGUGAAAUGUGUUGAGAUCGGAAGGAACACCAGAGGCGAAGGCGGUGCACUGGGGCUUGUCUGACGCUGAGGCACGAAAGCCAGGGGAGCGAACGGGAUUAGAUACCCCUGUAGUCC